rnacentral:rRNA from 1 species
UACGUAGGGGGCUAGCGUUGUCCGGAUUUAUUGGGCGUAAAGAGCGUGUAGGCGGCCAAGUAGGUCCGGUGUGAAAACUCGAGGCUUAACCUCGAGAUGUCAUCGGAAACCAUUUGGCUAGAGUCCGGAAGAGGAAAGUGGAAUUCCUGGUGUAGCGGUGAAAUGCGUAGAUAUCAAGAGGAACACCUGAGGUGAAGACGGGUUGCUGGGCUGACACUGACGCUGAGGCGCGAAAGCCAGGGGAGCAAACGGG